rnacentral:tRNA from 1 species
GCCGAAAUAGCUCAGUUGCGAGAGCGUUGGACUGUGAAUCGAAAGCUCCCCGAUUCGAUCCUGGUUUUUAUCA